CCAACACAAGCUUUAUCCGCCUGCGAAGUUCCUCUCCGCAGGAGCCCCACACGCUCUGGCAGUCACACACUCGGAAACCCCAUGGCGUGCCACCUCGUCGCCGCCUGCGUCCCGCGCCUCGCCGUCGUGGCAUCCUCCGCCUCCGGGGAUCCCGUCCGCCGUAUCCGGCGGCGCGCGCCGGGGUCGCGUUCCCAGAAGGCCCCCACGGCGGCUCCGCCCCAGCCGUCCGUCGCGGAGGUGCGGCGCGCCAUCGGGGCCGCCGACGACCCGUCCGCCUCCGGGAGGGACAAGCAGUCCGGUUUCAUGGAGCUCCUCGCCUCCACGCCGAUCGGGCAGCCGGAGAGCGACGCAGAGCGCCGAAUCCGUGAGGCCGCCGAGUGGGUGGUCGACAACACCGAGGCGCGCGCACAGGAAGGGCAAAAGUCUAUCUUGGUGCUAUGCAUGAAGAUCUUUCCUCUGUGGCUGUUCCUCAUGCUUACUGCCCUUGGAGUUAUAAAUUUACCAUUUGAUAUUCCCGGUCUGGAUAUGGAUGAUCUCCUAAUGUAAAGUGUUAGAUUGUUUCUUCUCCCAGCUAUAUGAGCCGCGGAUACUUGAAAAGAAAAACCAGUGAUAGAUAUUGUUCACAGCACUAUUGAAGUUGCUUGUUUCGUAAGAUCUUCCAUACAAAAGCACCAGCUGAGUAAGAAAAACAAGUAAAAAGAAUGAACUGUUGAAGGGGAAGUCAACUCAUAAAAUAUCCCCAAGAGCAGUGCACAUAAGUAAAUCCUGCGUUGUUCCGUUCCUUGCCAAGGGGAGCUAUAUUCUGUUGUUCAAAUGGCUCAUGAUCAAGGAACUCUACUGGGUAAGGUCGACAAACCAGAGAGCAUUAAUGAACUCGCUACACCGUUAGCACCGUCAUUCACAU